rnacentral:rRNA from 1 species
AUUGAACGCUGGCGGCAGGCCUAACACAUGCAAGUCGAGCGGAUGAAGGGAGCUUGCUCCUGGAUUCAGCGGCGGACGGGUGAGUAAUGCCUAGGAAUCUGCCUGGUAGUGGGGGAUAACGUCCGGAAGCGGGCGCUAAUACCGCAUACGUCCUGAGGGAGAAAGUGGGGGAUCUUCGGACCUCGCGCUAUCAGAUGAGCCUAGGUCGGAUUAGCUAGUUGGUGGGGUAAAGGCCUACCAAGGCGACGAUCCGUAACUGGUCUGAGAGGAUGAUCAGUCACACUGGAACUGAGACACGGUCCAGACUCCUACGGGAGGCAGCAGUGGGGAAUAUUGGACAAUGGGCGAAAGCCUGAUCCAGCCAUGCCGCGUGUGUGAAGAAGGUCUUCGGAUUGUAAAGCACUUUAAGUUGGGAGGAAGGGCAGUAAGUUAAUACCUUGCUGUUUUGACGUUACCAACAGAAUAAGCACCGGCUAACUUCGUG